rnacentral:rRNA from 1 species
UUAUUCGAGUUUGAUCCUGGCUCAGGAUUAACGCUAGCGGCAGGCCUAAUACAUGCAAGUCGAACGGGAUUUCGGGUAGCAAUAUCUGAAUGAGAGUGGCGCACGGGUGCGUAACACGUAUGCAAUCUGCCUCUGACUGGGGAAUAGCCUUCCGAAAGGAAGAUUAAUACCGCAUAACAUAAUGAAGUGGCAUCACUUUAUUAUCAAAACUCUGGUGGUCAGAGAUGAGCAUGCGUCCGAUUAGCUAGUUGGCGGGGUAACGGCCCACCAAGGCAACGAUCGGUAGGGGGUCUGAGAGGAUAAUCCCUCAUCUGGUAUUGAAACCCGAGGGGAGUGUGGAGGAAGUAACUAUAACGUUAUUCCAACCUUGCGGAAAACUUGAAGCCAGGAUAAGGUGAGGCAUUGGGAUAUAGCCUGUAUAAUAUAACAU